UUGUGUUCUGCAAUAGAAUAAAGAAAGUGUUAUUAGUAUCUGCGGCUAUUGUUGAAACACGUGUUGAGCACGCCAUAGAUAAUAUAAUUCAAUGUGAUAAAUUUGAAAAUUAUCGAUAAAACAAAUCCACAAAAAUUAACUGGCUUGGUGUGAAUAUGAGUAAUAUUUUAGACCUAUUUAGUUCCAUUUAAAGACAAGUUGGAAAAUAAGAAAAUAAGCCCGUUUAACUUUAGAACGCAAUUGAGACGCCAUUUUGAAAAAAUGUGCUAUUACAAUUUUCUACUCCCAUGAUUCACACGUCACACUAUUCUAAAUUUCACCAAUAAAACAUCUAACAGUUAACAAUUAUCUAAUACUUACAGUUUUUAAUAAAAUUCAAGAGAUCAGCUCCAGACUGGGGAGAAAAAUCAAUAUCUUCUUCACUUCACUGAUUUAUAACACACCGUGAUCACGAGAUAUGACGAUCCGAGUAGACGCUUCGAUGGAAUGUGAGAAUUGACGGUGCUUACGUGUGCUUAUAUAAUGCUCACUCUCCUCACCAAGCCGGUAGACAUUCUCUCAGACUCUUGCCAGCUGUCCAGGCCCGGGUAGGAAAGAAAGAAACAAAAUACAACAGGAAACGCCGGUCUACCCUCCGAUUGCAGCAAAGAUAAAAGGAAAGAGAACGGAAAUAACCAUCAUAAAAGAAGAGAAUAUUUUCCAGCAAAGGGGAGGGCCGAAGAGCAACAGAACACGGCGAUAACCCGGGCUUCCAUAGGCAUUGAUUCGUUUAUUAGUUUAAAUACAGUUUGGCAAUUAUUAACAAUUUUGCGAAAAUUUCCGCCAAAAAUUCUAAUACACAUCAAACUACUCAUUUAUUAGCUGUUCCAUUUUUUGAUUUUUGUUUUCAAUAUAGGCUUGGCAACACUCUCAGUAGGAAAUAACAUGUUCGUCCAAGAGGAAGAAGCUUCUCAGGCCAGGCACAGUCGAAAAUGUCGUUGUCAAAAUUCAAAACUAGCCGAAGCAAUUGGUGGAAAAUGAAACAAUUCGCAGCGUGGUUUAGUUUUUUGAUUCCAUUUGACACUACAUUUUACCGAUUCCAUGUUACCGGACUCAUAGAGUAAAUACAAUUUUUUUAAAUGAAGCGCAAUUCAAUAUUCUCUAUAAAACUAGCAAAAUAGAAUUGUCGACUAAAAGCCAAUAAAUUAGUUUUAUGUUGAAGGAGAGAAUAAAGUAUAACCGUAGGCUAAUUAAAAGAAUGAACCAUAACACGUACAACAGUAAUAUAUAUUUUAGCAUAAUAUUUCGUAGAUUGCAGACUAAUGACUAUCACUUUCACUCAGAUUGCUGCUCACGACACGCUUAUAUUAAAUUUCUAGCAUUUGACUAUCGAUCUCUAUUUUGUCGUAUUGCAAGCGUGGCUUUUGAUUCCUAACGUAAACAUUCAUAUUAUUGAAUAUUAUGUUUUUUGAUUUAAAUGAUCUUAUUAUUUAUAACAAAUUUGCUUUUCAAAAAUUUGUGCAUAAUCUCAAAAAUUAGACUUAUUAAUUUUGAUUUCCCACUUUUGAUUUUUUACUACUCAAUUUUUUGCUUAAAGUCUCAAACUUAUCGACAAUUGAAUCUUCGCUCAUUCAAAAUUCGAUUCUAGCUAGCCCGAGCAAGAGAAAAUAUCAUUAUAAUAUCACCAAAAUAUCAAUAAUAUCAUCAAUGUUUCUUCUAUGCUACACUAUUACACUAUUUGCUCAAAACUCUGUUUGCUUGAACGGUAGCGAAACCUCAUCGCUAAAAUAUAUUUACUAUUUGGAGUUGGUAUCACGGUCGAUUAGAGAUAAGGAUUCGUGUAAGAGUUUUGGUUGAUUAACUGGAACGUUAUUUCGCCAUCCGGCGGUUAACACAACUCAACAAAAAACGGCUCAAAAUAAUUCAGUUUUAAAGCAUUCGAUUGCCUACGUAGUUAAGCUGCAAAGAUACUUUCUACGUUGAAAUCGCGACCACAACCCUGAUACCCUGUCUUUAGGGUCAUAUUUAUUUCAGGUCGCAUUGGUUUACGGGUCACAAAAUUUUUAAUCAUCAACAGUUUUCAAAAAAAUUUAUCAAUUCAAAAAUGCAAGCAACUAUUCGCUCAGUAGUAUACUAACUGGUAUAAAACGACAUUUGUCGAGGCAAAUAUAUGCUUGUAUGCUCACAGCAAAUAUUUUUGACAAAUAUCAAGUAAAUAUCCACUUCAUGAAGUGCCCAUUUUAGAGCUGCUAUACAGUUUGGCGACGUAAGUUUCGCGUUUUGAUAGGGUAUUUAGUAUAUAAUAUAGGAGUUUUUUCGAAAUUUUUCGAGGAAUUCGGGAGUCCCGGGUUCCCGGGAAUCAAUAUUUUUCUACUCGAGAUCCAAGAAUCCCGGAAAAUCGUUCCCGGGAUUACGAACCCUAAUUCAGGCUUAUAAUUUUUCCACAGGUCACGCGACAUUUUAUAACUUUUUAUUUUAGAUUACGACUUUUGUUCUUCGAUAUUGUACUUCCGUUAAACAAUUUCUGAUUUUCUAUUUUUUUUUUGUUCUUCAAUUUUUCGAUUUCUGUCAGUUCAAUUAUACAGUGCAACAAAAAUUGACCUUUUUUCUGCCUUGGUUUCUAUAUAUGAUUUUUUGUGUAUUUUUAUGCAAAACUAAAUUUCCCCGAGUUUGAACACAUUUCAACUUAAGGGACAACAAUGGCGCCAUUUUGAAUUUUUGAGAAACUGGUGAUUUUUGAUGAUUUUUGUCGCCAUUUUGUUUUAAGACUAAAUAUCAAAAUUCUAAGAGCUUGUCCACAUAUUAGCAUCUUUUUACCUAUCUUUUAAAAUAAAUGUCAGCAGAUAAACCUAUUUU